AGCUUUGCAGUGGCAGUAUCAUAGCCAAUAAGGUUUAUCAGAGGUGUAAUUAUUGCUAAUUGAGCAUAUUUUCAGAUGCAAUCAGUAUCUAUCUUAAAAUACAGUAUUUAUUUGUACAACUUGUCUUAAAAU
rnacentral:snRNA from 1 species